AUCAGGCGAUGAAUAUGUCAAUAGGGUGGGUGGGGCUAGGUUUAUAGGAGCCCCACCCACCCUAUUGGCAUAUUCAUCGCCCUGA
rnacentral:pre_miRNA from 1 species